UGAGAUCAGAGUCACGCCCUUGGGGGCCGGCCAGGACGUGGGCCGAAGCUGCAUCCUGGUCUCCAUUGCGGGCAAGAAUGUCAUGCUGGACUGUGGAAUGCACAUGGGCUUCAAUGACGACCCAGGGGUCCUGGUGCCACCUGCGGGAUGGGAGUGCCCAGCCUGAGUCUGCACAUAGAACCCCCCUUCCUGGGGGCCCCUCCCUGGGGCAUGGGUGGCCCCAGAUGCUGCCUGGAGACCACUGUGCAACCUGAAACCCCCACAUCCUUCCUAGCGACGCUUCCCUGACUUCUCCUACAUCACCCAGAACGGCCGCCUAACAGACUUCCUGGACUGUGUGAUCAUUAGACUUUGAGACUGAAAGUUCCAGGGAGACAGUUUUGUGUUUGCUCAUUACUGACUCUUCGGUACUCGGGAUGAGGCCUGGCGCACAGCAGGCGAAUGAAGGGGCCAGUGACCCACAAGCCCAGAGCGGGGGUGAAGGCUGGGGCAGGGUGGGCCCAGGCUGACCUGUGCUGCGUCCCCCUAGCCACUUCCACCUGGACCACUGCGGGGCACUCCCCUACUUCAGCGAGAUGGUGGGC
rnacentral:lncRNA from 10 species